GUUAACUUUGACACUGCUGAGGUGAGACAUGCACAGGAAGUGUGACCUUUGACCUGUUCACACAGUCACACAGGCAGUCUGUAACAAGUACACAGUGGGUGGAUUUAAAGGUCACUUGGUGUCAGUCAGUGACAUGUACGACCUGAAGGCAGUGGUAAGAACCAUGUACGCUACCAACCCUCAGCAGCUGCAGUACUGGAUUGGAGCCUGGCACGAUGGAGGCUUCAAGUGGAUCAAUGGGUCACGAUACCAUUUCACCAACUGGGCUCGUAUGCUUCUCAUCUCUACUUUUUGCAGAUGACGUUGGCUCCAUCAAACCAGGAAUUCCAGUGUGCACUGGGGCGGUUUGCAGCAGAAUG